UUGCUCUCCUUUCUUUCUUACAACCUAUCUUAGUUUUAGGACAAGGCUUUAGAAUUUAAGACAAAGCCUUAUCUGAUCCUAACAAGGGUUGUAAGGGUCCUAAAGAAGGAGAAUUAGAAGUUCAGAGGAGGUUCUAAGAGGGUGAGGUCAGAUUCUUAAAGAAACUUGACCGAUACAAGGCUAGUCGAAUUCUACGGGCU
rnacentral:lncRNA from 1 species